rnacentral:piRNA from 1 species
UGCUUGCUUCCAGACAUGGGAUGCAG